rnacentral:rRNA from 1 species
CUAGCGUAUCUAGCUUGUAUUCAGCCGCCUAGUCCGCCGUCCAGUCGGUCGUUCGAUCCCGCUUCGGGUCGGUCGGCUGGCGUCGCGGCGGUGGACUGGUGGUGCAUUUGCAAGCAGAGUGCGCUGAGGCGUGUGGUGCAGCGAUUCGAAGUCCACUCUGAGGAAACAUCUAUUGUGAAACCCGGGUGGAUGGACAAGUUGUUUGUAGUGCAUGUAAAACUAGCACGGCCUACGGACUCCGGAGUGGUCGUGGUGCUAGUGGGUUACGGUCGCGUGCGACACGUGCCCGCUAGUGCUGCGCACGRCGUCGGAGUUCACGUGCUUGCCCUCGGUGUAAAAGCUGGUCAUCUAUCCGACCCGUCUUGAAACACGGACCAAGGAGUUUAGCGUAUACGCGAGUCAUUGAGUGUUGAAAACUUAAAGGCGUAAUGAAAGUAAAGGUAUCCGCAUGGAGCUGAUAUGCGACCUUGGGUCACCUCGGUGCCCAGGUGCAGCAUAGCCACGUCCUAAUCGCAUGCGAUGGGGCGUAGGUAGAGCGUAUUCGCUGAGACCCGAAAGAUGGUGAACUAUUCCUGAGCAGGAUGAAGCCAGUGGAAACACUGGUGGAAGUCCGAAGCGGUUCUGACGUGCAAAUCGAUCGUCUGACUUGGGUUAUAGGGGCGAAAGACUAA